CAAUAGCGUAUAUUUAAGUUGCUGCAGUUAAAAAGCUCGUAGUUGGAUUUCGGGUGGGAAUGGCCGGUCCCCCGUUUCGGUGUGCACUUGCUACGCCCACCUUGCUGCCGGGGACGUGCUCUUGAGUUCACGCUCGGGACACGGAGUCGGCGAGGUUACUUUGAGUAAAUUAGAGUGUUCAAAGCAGGCCUACGCUCUGAAUACAUUAGCAUGGAAUAACACGAUAGGACUCUGGCCUAUCUUGUUGGUCUGUAGGACCGGAGUAAUGAUUAAGAGGGACAGUCGGGGGCAUUCGUAUUUCAUUGUCAGAGGUGAAAUUCUUGGAUUUAUGAAAGACGAACUACUGCGAAAGCAUUUGCCAAGGAUGUUUUCAUUAA
rnacentral:rRNA from 1 species